rnacentral:rRNA from 1 species
GUAGCCGGACUGAGAGGUUGAACGGCCACAUUGGGACUGAGACACGGCCCAGACUCCUACGGGAGGCAGCAGUGGGGAAUAUUGCACAAUGGGGGAAACCCUGAUGCAGCGACGCCGCGUGGAGGAAGAAGGUCUUCGGAUUGUAAACUCCUGUUGUUGGGGAAGAUAAUGACGGUACCCAACAAGGAAGUGACGGCUAACUACGUGCCAGCAGCCGCGGUAAAACGUAGGUCACAAGCGUUGUCCGGAAUUACUGGGUGUAAAGGGAGCGCAGGCGGGAAGACAAGUUGGAAGUGAAAUCUAUGGGCUCAACCCAUAAACUGCUUUCAAAACUGUUUUUCUUGAGUAGUGCAGAGGUAGGCGGAAUUCCCGGUGUAGCGGUGGAAUGCGUAGAUAUCGGGAGGAACACCAGUGGCGAAGGCGGCCUACUGGGCACCAACUGACGCUGAGGCUCGAAAGUGUGGGUAGCAAACAGGAUUAGAUACCCUGGUAGUCCACACCGUAAACGAUGAUUACUAGGUGUUGGAGGAUUGACCCCUUCAGUGCCGCAGUUAACACAAUAAGUAAUCCACCUGGGGAGUACGACCGCAAGGUUGAAACUCAAAGGAAUUGACGGGGGCCCGCACAAGCAGUGGAGUAUGUGGUUUAAUUCGACGCAACGCGAAGAACCUUACCAAGUCUUGACAUCCCUUGACAGACAUAGAAAUAUGUUUUCUCUUCGGAGCAAGGAGACAGGUGGUGCAUGGUUGUCGUCAGCUCGUGUCGUGAGAUGUUGGGUUAAGUCCCGCAACGAGCGCAACCCUUAUGGUCAGUUACUACGCAAGAGGACUCUGGCCAGACUGCCGUUGACAAAACGGAGGAAGGUGGGGAUGACGUCAAAUCAUCAUGCCCUUUAUGACUUGGGCUACACACGUACUACAAUGGCGUUAAACAAAGAGAAGCAAGACCGCGAGGUGGAGCAAAACUCAGAAACAACGUCCCAGUUCGGACUGCAGGCUGCAACUCGCCUGCACGAAGUCGGAAUUGCUAGUAAUCGUGGAUCAGCAUGCCACGGUGAAUACGUUCCCGGGCCUUGUACACACCGCCCGUCACACCAUGAGAGCCGGGGGGACCCGAAGUCGGUAGUCUAACCGCAAGGAGGACGCCGCCGAAGGUAAAACUGGUGAUUGGGGUGAAGUCGUAACAAGGUAGCCGUA